UACGAAGGGGGCUAGCGUUGCUCGGAAUCACUGGGCGUAAAGCGCACGUAGGCGGGUCUUUAAGUCAGGGGUGAAAUCCUGGAGCUCAACUCCAGAACUGCCUUUGAUACUGAGGAUCUCGAGUCCGGGAGAGGUGAGUGGAACUCCGAGUGUAGAGGUGAAAUUCGUAGAUAUUCGGAAGAACACCAGUGGCGAAGGCGACACACUGGCCCGUUACUGACGCUGAGGCGCGAAAGCGUGGGGAGCAAACAGG
rnacentral:rRNA from 1 species